GUGCCAGCCGCCGCGGUAAUACGUAGGGGGCGAGCGUUGUCCGGAUUUAUUGGGCGUAAAACGCUUGUAGGCGGCCACGCUGCGUCGGACGUGAAAUCUCCCGGCUUAACUGGGAGGGGUCGUGCGAUACGAGCGGGCUCGAGGCCGGUAGGGGGAAGCGGAAUUCCCGGUGUAGUGGUGGAAUGCGUAGAUAUCGGGAGGAACACCAGAGGCGCAGGCGGCUUCCUGGACCGGAACUGACGCUGAGGAGCGAAAGCGUGGGGAGCGAUCCGGAUUAGAUACCCGGGUAGUCCACGCCGUAAACGGUGAGCACUAGGUGUCGGGGGUAUCGACCCCUCCGGUGCCGCAGCUAACGCAUUAAGUGCUCUGCCUGGGGAGUACGGCCGCAAGGCUAAA
rnacentral:rRNA from 1 species